UACGGGGGGCGAAGCGUUGUUCGGAAUUACUGGGCGUAAAGGGCUCGUAGGUGGCCAACUAAGUCGGACGUGAAAUCCCUCGGCUUAACCGGGAACUGCGUCCGAUACUGGUUGGCUUGAGUUGGGAGAGGGAUGCGGAAUUCCAGGUGUAGCGGUGAAAUGACGCAGAUAUCAGGAGGAACACCGGUGGCGAAGGCGGUUCUCUGGGCAUGUCCUGACGCUGAGGAGCGAAAGUGUGGGAGGCGAACAGGA
rnacentral:rRNA from 1 species